rnacentral:rRNA from 1 species
AUUGAACGCUGGCGGCAUGCCUUACACAUGCAAGUCGAACGGCAGCACGGGAGCUUGCUCCUGGUGGCGAGUGGCGAACGGGUGAGUAAUACAUCGGAACGUACCCAGGAGUGGGGGAUAACGUAGCGAAAGUUACGCUAAUACCGCAUAUUCUGUGAGCAGGAAAGCGGGGGAUCGCAAGACCUCGCGCUCUUGGAGCGGCCGAUGUCGGAUUAGCUAGUUGGUGAGGUAAAAGCUCACCAGGGCGACGAUCCGUAGCAGGUCUGAGAGGAUGAUCUGCCACACUGGGACCGAGACACGGCCCAGACUCCUACGGGAGGCAGCAGUGGGGAAUUUUGGACAAUGGGGGCAACCCUGAUCCAGCCAUGCCGCGUGAGUGUAGAAGGCCUUCGGGUUGUAAAGCUCUUUCGGCGGGGAAGAAAUGGCAACGGCUAAUAUCCGUUGUUGAUGACGGUACCCGCAUAAGAAGCACCGGCUAACUACGUGCCAGCCGCCGCCGUAA